AUGCUCCCUGACGAUAUCCUCACCCUUGUCUACUCCAGGGUCGCCUCCGCGGACAACCGCGUACGCUUCGCCGCAGUGUGCACGUCAUGGCGCGCCAUUGCACAGAUGCAGCCGCCGCGUCGUGUGCUCCCGUGGCUGAUCCUCGACCCAGGAAGCAACGACGGGGCGAAGCAUGCGUACUGCCUCGAGGACGGCACCAUCCUGUCGCGCUUCCGGUUUCCGAGCGAGGUUGUCGGCGGGUGCAUCGUCGGCUGCUAUGACGGCGGAUGGGUCGCCGUCUCGGAAGCCCCGCUGAGGAUCAUCAACCUUUUCUCUGGUGCCGAGGUGGCCCUCUCGGCGAAGCAAAGGAGUGUAAUCCGGUUAUGCCCACACGCCGACGAUCGGUUUGUUCCAAUGAAGGUAAUAUUCUCCGAGCGGCCAACCUCGAGAGAUUGUAUCCUCGCUGCCAUCAUUGGCUGUUCUGAAGUCGCCAUCUGCGGACUUGGCCGCUCCAAGUCUGCAUGGUUGCCAAAUAUAUUUCCCGGGCAGACAGUCAUGGAUAUUGCCUUCUGCAACGGCUAUCUUUAUUGCCUCAUGUCAGAAACAAUGGCCAUGGUUAGGUUCAAGAUUGGCUUAGCCAAACAUGGCCUGUCCCGUCGAGAUCCCCAAUGGCUGAUUAUACAUGACCAGGGGUACUGGUACGCGGCCAAUGGAGAUCCGAACGAGCAUGCCGCGUACAUUGUUGAGCUACGUGGCAAGAUCAUGAUAGCGGUGAGGAAGACGAGAGGGUCAUGGUGGUGGUCACGCAAUAAAACGUUGCCUAUUUUCUUUUGUCUCGAGCUAGUUUACGCCGGAGAUGGCACGUACCAUUGGGAACCUCUGAAAAGGCUAGGCGACCAUGCCUUGUUCUUGGGGCCGACGUUCUCCAAGGCAUUGCACGUGUCAAUAGGGGAGCAUUGCAGUCCACGAAGAAACCACAUCUAUUACUCCGAUCAUCGAUGCUAUCCACGAAAAAAAUGUUUGCCCAAUGACGCCAAGAAAUUCUUGACGAGCUCAAACAGUGAUGGUUGCCAUGCGUAUUACAAGCAAGGUGAAAGUGUUGACAACACCGACGCGGGGAUCAUGUCAGUGGGGUACUACGUGUUGGGUGGUAAUCAAUGUCCUCCUAUGUGGCUUUUCCCUCCGGAUCUCUAG
rnacentral:rRNA from 1 species